rnacentral:lncRNA from 1 species
AUCAGAGUCUCUUCAGCGGACGUCGUUUGACGAACAGUUCCCUCCUGGUGGACCUGCGAGGGAAACGCACGCCACGCAUUCCACCACGGUCACUUCACAGAGGACAUAAAGUGACACAGUCCCGUUAGCUGCGGCGGGAUGGGGGAGCCGAGUGAGUCGUGUUCGUAACUUUUUCUGCGCAAAAGUAUGUUUCUGUACACCUGGACUUGCCGAGUACGAUAUCCGCGCUCUAGAGAUAAGGGAAAAUGCACCACCUAAGAUGUCGACCGUACAGUGGAGCAACCGAUUGAUACCGAUAAGGACGGAGUCUCAAAGUUGCUCGGCGACCCUCAUGAAAUUGGGGUAAAACCUUUCCUUUCCCUUAUGUACUCAUGGCGUGCAAUAUCAAACCGAUAACAACUGAAGGUAGACUCCCUAUUACACACUAUAAAAUGGGAUUCCUAGGUUUGCGCAAACUACCUUUUUCUGGGGAGAACGCUGAGAUGUCCAGCCACUACGGCUGUAAAGAGCUUACGUGAGCCGAUCUCGACUAAAGUGGAGAAAAGGCUCACAGCAUUCAAAUGUGAUGCCUAGUAAGCGUCAAGGCUUCCAGAUUGACCGAAAGUGGGGGAGCAGUCGUACCGUGCCC